rnacentral:rRNA from 1 species
AUUGAACGCUGGCGGCAUGCCUUACACAUGCAAGUCGAACGGCAGCGCGGACUUCGGUCUGGCGGCGAGUGGCGAACGGGUGAGUAAUACAUCGGAACGUACCCUGUUGUGGGGGAUAACUAGUCGAAAGAUUAGCUAAUACCGCAUACGACCUGAGGGUGAAAGUGGGGGACCGCAAGGCCUCACGCAGCAGGAGCGGCCGAUGUCUGAUUAGCUAGUUGGUGGGGUAAAGGCCCACCAAGGCGACGAUCAGUAGCUGGUCUGAGAGGACGAUCAGCCAAACCGGGAAUGAGACAACGGCCAGACUCCUAAGGGAGGGAGCAGGGGGGAAUUUUUGAACAUGGGGGCAACCCUGAUCCAGCAAUGCCGCGUGUGUGAAGAAGGCCUUCGGGUUGUAAAGCACUUUUGUCCGGAAAGAAAUCGAGCUGGUUAAUACCUGGCGUGGAUGACGGUACCGGAAGAAUAAGCACCGGCUAACUACGUG